rnacentral:rRNA from 1 species
CUCCUACGGGAGGCAGCAGUAGGGAAUCUUCGGCAAUGGGGGCAACCCUGACCGAGCAACGCCGCGUGAGUGAAGAAGGUUUUCGGAUCGUAAAGCUCUGUUGUAAGAGAAGAACGUGUGUGGGAGUGGAAAAUCCACACAAUGACGGUAACUUACCAGAAAGGGACGGCUAACUACGUGCCAGCAGCCGCGGUAAUACGUAGGUCCCGAGCGUUGUCCGGAUUUAUUGGGCGUAAAGCGAGCGCAGGCGGUUAGAUAAGUCUGAAGUUAAAGGCUGUGGCUUAACCAUAGUACGCUUUGGAAACUGUUUAACUUGAGUGCAGAAGGGGAGAGUGGAAUUCCAUGUGUAGCGGUGAAAUGCGUAGAUAUAUGGAGGAACACCGGUGGCGAAAGCGGCUCUCUGGUCUGUAACUGACGCUGAGGCUCGAAAGCGUGGGGAGCAAACAGGAUUAGAUACCCUGGUAGUCCACGCCGUAAACGAUGAGUGCUAGGUGUUAGGCCCUUUCCGGGGCUAGUGCCGCAGCUAACGCAUUAAGCACUCCGCCUGGGGAGUACGACCGCAAGGUUGAAACUCAAAGGAAUUGACGGGGGCCCGCACAAGCGGUGGAGCAUGUGGUUUAAUUCGAAGCAACGCGAAGAACCUUACCAGGUCUUGACAUCCCGAUGCCCGCUCUAGAGAUAGAGUUUUACUUCGGUACAUCGGUGACAGGUGGUGCAUGGUUGUCGUCAGCUCGUGUCGUGAGAUGUUGGGUUAAGUCCCGCAACGAGCGCAACCCUUAUUGUUAGUUGCCAUCAUUUAGUUGGGCACUCUAGCGAGACUGCCGGUAAUAAACCGGAGGAAGGUGGGGAUGACGUCAAAUCAUCAUGCCCCUUAUAACCUGGGCUACACACGUGCUACAAUGGCUGGUACAACGAGUCGCAAGUCGGUGACGGCAAGCUAAUCUCUUAAAGCCAGUCUCAGUUCGGAUUGUAGGCUGCAACUCGCCUACAUGAAGUCGGAAUCGCUAGUAAUCGCGGAUCAGCACGCCGCGGUGAAUACGUUCCCGGGUCUUGUACACACGC